rnacentral:piRNA from 1 species
UGGAAGUCUGGUUAAAAAAAA